rnacentral:rRNA from 1 species
UACAGAGGGGGCGAGCGUUAUUCGGAAUUAUUGGGCGUAAAGGGCGCGUAGGCGGCUUUUCAAGUGGCGGGUGAAAUCCCUCGGCUUAACCGAGGAACUGCCUGCCAGACUGGAAGGCUUGAGACCGGGAGAGGUGAGUGGAAUUCCCAGUGUAGCGGUGAAAUGCGUAGAUAUUGGGAGGAACACCAGUGGCGAAGGCGGCUCACUGGACCGGAACUGACGCUGAGGCGCGAAAGCGUGGGGAGCAAACAGG